GAUGAACGCUGGCGGCGUGCCUAAUACAUGCAAGUCGAGCGAACGGACGAGAAGCUUGCUUUUCUGGUGUUAGCUGCGGACGGGUGAGUAACACGUGGAUAACCUACCUAUAAGACUGGGAUAACUUCGGGAAACCGGAGCUAAUACCGGAUAAUAUUUUGAACCGCAUGGUUCAAAAGUGAAAGACGUUCUUGCUGUCACUUAUAGAUGGAUCCGCGCUGCAUUAGCUAGUUGGUAAGGUAACGGCUUACCAAGGCAACGAUGCAUAGCCGACCUGAGAGGGUGAUCGGCCACACUGGAACUGAGACACGGUCCAGACUCCUACGGGAGGCAGCAGUAGGGAAUCUUCCGCAAUGGGCGAAAGCCUGACGGAGCAACGCCGCGUGAGUGAUGAAGGUCUUCGGAUCGUAAAACUCUGUUAUUAGGGAAGAACAUAUGUGUAAGUAACUGUGCACAUCUUGACGGUACCUAAUCAGAAAGCCACGGCUAACUACGUG
rnacentral:rRNA from 1 species